rnacentral:rRNA from 1 species
GACGGAGGGUGCUAGCGUUGUUCGGAAUGACUGGGCGUAAAGGGCGCGUAGGCGGCCGCUUGCGUCGGAUGUGAAAGCCCGGGGCUCAACCCAGGAACUGCGUCCGAUACUGGUUGGCUUGAAUCCGGGAGAGGGAUGUGGAAUUCCAGGUGUAGCGGUGAAAUGCGUAGAUAUCUGGAGGAACACCGGUGGCGAAGGCGACAUCCUGGACCGGCAUUGACGCUGAGGCGCGAAAGCCAGGGGAGCAAACGGG